UACGAAGGUCCCAAGCGUUAUCCGGAUUUAUUGGGUUUAAAGGGUGCGUAGGCGGACUAUUAAGUCAGUGGUGAAAGCCCCAGGCCUAACCUGGGAAUUGCCAUUGAUACUGAUGAUCUUGAGUACAUUUGAGGCGGGCGGAAUGUGUCAUGUAGCGGUGAAAUGCUUAGAUAUGACACAGAACACCGAUUGCGUAGGCAGCUCGCUAAACUGUAACUGACGCUGAGGCACGAAAGCGUGGGGAGCAAACAGG
rnacentral:rRNA from 1 species